rnacentral:rRNA from 1 species
UACGUAGGGUGCAAGCGUUUGUCCGGAUUUAUUGGGCGUAAAGAGCUCGUAGGCGGUUUGUUGCGUCGGCCGUGAAAACCUGCAGCUUAACUGUGGGCUUGCGGUCGAUACGGGCAGACUUGAGUUCGGUAGGGGAGACUGGAAUUCCUGGUGUAGCGGUGAAAUGCGCAGAUAUCAGGAGGAACACCGGUGGCGAAGGCGGGUCUCUGGGCCGAUACUGACGCUGAGGAGCGAAAGCGUGGGGGAGCGAACAGG